CAAAUUGUGUCCUCUAUGCACCACUGCAGCUUUCGGACAUGAAACUUCGCGAGCGAGCUUCGCACGUAAAACACAGCACGAGAAUAAAUAAUGAAAAAUCCACUUUGUUUUGGCAUUGGCCAACUUUCACAGCGUGCUUGGGUCUGGGAUACGCCAGUGAUGUGUCCAACGACACUUGAACAACAAUAUCCGGGUAAUCAGAAGGAAGACAAGAAAUGGAAACAUUAACGGUGCUCUCACUUGGCAUAUUCAAUCAGAAAAACAAAAUUUUGUUGUCAGCUUGUGAUGAAAUGUGUAACAAACGCGACGAUAUAUGGACUUAUGUCUGCUAUAGCUGGUUAAAAACUGAGCAAACCAGUCUGGUGAGCCUGGGAAGGAUGUACUUACAAUUAAACUGGUUUUGGAGUUUCCAUCUAAGCCAUCCUGAAGCAGCCUUGUCAGUGUUGAGUUCCUGUAUGGAAUAUGACGCUUGGUACCUUCAGCUAAUGCUUGAAUCACAUUCCUGAAACGAUUGAUACUUCACCUUGAAAAAACAUUAUAUUGUAAUUCUGGACUUCACAUCCUGUCAUUAAUUAUUCUAGAUCACUUGAGUUGGUCGAGAAUGAAAGCAAUAUCUUGCGAUGUGUAGGAUAAGAUCAAAUUCGCUAUUUCAGUCAAAGGCUCAAAUUUUCUCUAGGCUUAACAUUAUCACUAGAAUCAGUCACUCAUUUCGUCCAUGCUUUCAGGUGAACACUGGAAGUGCUCCUCCCAUAGCCUAGAAACAAAAUAUUCAAUCGUGUUUGUUAUUACGUGUGAGAAUUAGAUAAGGACUGUUUGGGUUUAAAGUGAAGAGACAAAGC